rnacentral:rRNA from 1 species
GUGAGGAAUAUUGGACAAUGGGCGCAAGCCUGAUCCAGCCAUGCCGCGUGCAGGAAGACGCAUCUAUGGUGUGUAAACUGCUUUUGUACGGGAAGAAACACUCCCUCGUGAGGGAGCUUGACGGUACCGUAAGAAUAAGGAUCGGCUAACUCCGUGCCAGCAGCCGCGGUAAUACGGAGGAUCCAAGCGUUAUCCGGAAUCAUUGGGUUUAAAGGGUCCGUCGGCGGUUUAAUAAGUCAGUGGUGAAAGCCCAUCGCUCAACGAUGGAACGGCCAUUGAUACUGUUAGACUUGAAUUACAAGGAAGUAACUAGAAUAUGUAGUGUAGCGGUGAAAUGCUUAGAUAUUACAUGGAAUACCAAUUGCGAAGGCAGGUUACUACUUGUGGAUUGACGCUGAUGGACGAAAGCGUGGGGAGCGAACAGGAUUAGAAACCCUUGUAGUCC